rnacentral:rRNA from 1 species
UACGUAGGGUGCGAGCGUUAUCCGGAAUCAUUGGGCGUAAAGGGCACGCAGGCGGUUUUUUAAGUCUGAUGUGAAAUCUUGUGGCUUAACCACAAGCGGUCAUUGGAAACUGGGAGACUUGAGUACAGAAGAGGAGAGUGGAAUUCCACGUGUAGCGGUGAAAUGCGUAGAGAUGUGGAGGAACACCAGUGGCGAAGGCGACUCUCUGGUCUGUAACUGACGCUGAGGUGCGAAAGCGUGGGUAGCGAACAGGAUUAGAUA